UACGGAGGGUGCGAGCGUUGCUCGGAAUUAUUGGGCGUAAAGCGUACGCAGGCGGCUCGGUAAGUCGAGUGUGAAAUCCCGAGGCUCAACUUCGGACGUGCACUCGAUACUGUCGAGCUUGAAUGCGGGAGAGGGAAGCGGAAUUCCUGGUGUAGCGGUGAAAUGCGCAGAUAUCAGGAGGAACACCGAUGGCGAAGGCAGGUCUCUGGGCAUUAACUGACGCUGAGGAGCGAAAGCAUGGGGAGCGAACAGG
rnacentral:rRNA from 1 species